GAAGAACCAUAGAUACCCAUGGUAUUAAUGAAAGGCCCAUAAGCUCACAACCCACAAUCCGGUCUAUGUUCAUUAUGCACAGGCCCUUCUUCAGGAGGCCCGAUGGACUGUUAUGGUCCCAAAAUUCAGAAUAUGAGUGAAGAACUUAUGAUUGUACUAUAAUAAAUAAGAAUAUUAUGGGACCACUCAGAUGACAGCUAGCCAGUCACCUCUGUGAGAUUAAUAAUUAUCAGCCUCCUGUGCCACCACAUGUGACUUGUACUCCUUUUGGACCCAUCCAUCCCGUGAACAAAGAGCCUAUUGACUGGACCCAUCCUCUUUGGUAAGAUUCUCAAGACCCUAUGGAUGUUGAAGCAUGUGAAACCAUUGAAAGUGCUGCCCUACCAUCUCCUGAAAAGCAUAGAUACUGGUAUGAACCCUUUUUCGGAGAUAUUGA
rnacentral:misc_RNA from 1 species